UACGUAUGGAGCAAGCGUUAUCCGGAUUUACUGGGUGUAAAGGGAGCGCAGGCGACUUUGCAAGUCUGAUGUGAAAGGCCGGGGCUCAACCCCGGGACUGCAUUGGAAACUGUAAAGCUAGAGUGCCGGAGGGGUAAGCGGAAUUCCUAGUGUAGCGGUGAAAUGCGUAGAUAUUAGGAGGAACACCAGUGGCGAAGGCGGCUUACUGGACGGUAACUGACGCUGAGGCUCGAAAGCGUGGGGAGCAAACAGG
rnacentral:rRNA from 1 species